CUGUUACACCUUGAAAUGCCAGUGCAACAGGCACUCCUAACUGCUUAGAGUCAUGUGUAAAGCUCAUAUAGGGGAAAGAGAGCAAGCCUUGUUUCCUGUAGAGCAUUGUGGCUGGAGGUUGGGAGGCUGGUGUGUACUGGCAUUACUGGGACAUGUGUUCUCUCCAGAGCUGAGUCAGGAAAUGACACCAGGCUUAUGUAGUAUAAAAGCACGACCCAAGAAUGGUGUAAGCUGCAGAGCUGGGGCUGUGGAUUGGUGUCAGUGUCACAAGUGCUUCCAGGUAAUGCUGAGUCUCAGCAACUUCGUGAGAGCUGGAUGUGAUGGGCUUGUGCCACUGCAAAAGGAUUCUCACAAAGAGCUCAGGAAGUGUUAUGCUUAAAAAAGAAAUACAAAACUCAUUGCAGAACCCGUUGAAGCUUUUACGGCCUGUAGGCUGUCAGCAUUUCCAUCGUGGUUCCCUGCAUGCAGAAGUUGACAAUUCAGCUAUAAAUAAUCACUGCUGGUUGGAAAUUGGGUAUGUAAAACUCUAGCUAGAGUCAAGUCAUAGUCUCUGUGAAAACGAUACAUAAAGGAGGUAUUCUAAACAACAACAAAAUUUCUUGUCAUUCCUGUUACACUCAAAGAGAAUACGUGAGCCCAACAAUAUGUUUUUAUUUGAUUUGAAAAAAAGAUUUACCUACUUCUCCUCUUCGUAUGUUUGUAACGUGAAAUCCCUUGGGAAUGUUAAAAAUGACUGUACUUUCUCCAAAGCUGUCAUCUAAAUUCAGAGGAAGAAAACUCCAGGCACAUGAGGUACAGCGCAUCGCUCUUCGCCUGUGCACCACCCGUGGCUGUAGGGUGCUUGCAGCAGAGCUGAAGAAGCAGGGCAGCCCCAACUUCUCCUGCCCCUGGAGAGUGUUUUUCUGGUGGGCCACCCACUCUGACAGAACAACUGAAUGUCACCCCAAACUCCUAUGGUCCUCUUGAAGAGGGGUCAGGGCUUUUUGACCCAUUACAUUUCUGGAACCAGUUCUUAAUUGUAAGAGCUGCAGGUAGUACUAAUCACAUAACAAGUGAGCACACUCUCUAUGCAAGGUUUUCUGUAGCACAGGACUACACAGCCUGAAAUACCAGCCAGUUCCGCUGGGACAGAGCAUCUCUGAUCCUCUGGGCUACGAGCAGAAGUUCACUCAUUUCCCAAAUCUGAUUCCAUUCUGAUCUGAAAAGAAUUUAGAAGUAAUAGUUUCAGGCUGUGAUUACCUGUCAUAUCAAGUGAUGAUAGGUGAGAAAGAUGCCUUAUUAUCUUUUCCUUUUGCUGUAUCCAGCUCAGGAUGGGUGAUGGUCACCUUCCCUGUUAUGCCUGUGAUACAAGCUGUGAUAGUCAAGAUCUAAUCCUGGGGAAUAGUUUCGGUCCCUUGAGCCUGGUACAGUGCAGCAGAUGCUCAAGUAGUCCAACAUUAGUUAAACUCUUAUGUCUCAAUUUAAAAACCAGAUGUAUUAUUUUGUAGUUAUAUUCCACUCAAUGUCCAACAACAAGAAAAAAUUAGAAAUGUGGUGUGAGUUGAACAGUUUUCACUUUAAUGGUAUUUUAAUAAUCAGGAAAAUCACCCAUGUACAGUAAAGAUAAAUUGCUUUGCUACAGGGUAAUAUAAACUUUAACAAGUAUAAUAAAUAUUUCUGCUUGACCA
ensembl:lncRNA